rnacentral:rRNA from 1 species
GAUGAACGCUGGCGGCGUGCCUAAUACAUGCAAGUCGAGCGAACAGACGAGGAGCUUGCUCCUCUGACGUUAGCGGCGGACGGGUGAGUAACACGUGGAUAACCUACCUAUAAGACUGGGAUAACUUCGGGAAACCGGAGCUAAUACCGGAUAAUAUAUUGAACCGCAUGGUUCAAUAGUGAAAGACGGUUUUGCUGUCACUUAUAGAUGGAUCCGCGCCGCAUUAGCUAGUUGGUAAGGUAACGGCUUACCAAGGCAACGAUGCGUAGCCGACCUGAGAGGGUGAUCGGCCACACUGGAACUGAGACACGGUCCAGACUCCUACGGGAGGCAGCAGUAGGGAAUCUUCCGCAAUGGGCGAAAGCUUGACGGAGCAACGCCGCGUGAGUGAUGAAGGUCUUCGGAUCGUAAAACUCUGUUAUUAGGGAAGAACAAAUGUGUAAGUAACUAUGCACUUCUUGACGGUACCUAAUCAGAAAGCCACGGUUAACUACGUG